AUUGAACGCUGGCGGUAGGCCUAACACAUGCAAGUCGAACGAGUGGCGGACGGUUGAGUAAGGUCUGGGAAACUGCCUGAUGGAGGGGGAUAACUCCUGGAAACGUUAGCUAAUACCGCAUACCAUCGGAUUUGCCCAGAUGGGAUUAGCUAUUAGGUGGGUUAAAGGCUCACAUAGGCGACGAUCCCUAGCUGGUCUGCGAGGGUGACCAGCCACACUGGAACUGAGACACGGUCCAGACUCCUACGGGAGGCAGCAGUGGGGAAUAGUGCACAAUGGGCGCAAGCCUGAUGCAGCCAUGCCGCGGGUAUGAAGAAGGCCUUCGGGUUGUAAAGUACUUUCAGCGGGGAGGCGUUACCCGCAGAAGAAGCACCGGCUAACUCCGUGCCAGCAGCCGCGGUAAUUC
rnacentral:rRNA from 1 species